rnacentral:rRNA from 1 species
UGAGUACGAGAUGCUACGGCAUCGAAGCAGUCUAUGUCAUACUUCCAAGAAAAGCUUGCACUGUCAGAAACAGAUAAUGCCUGUACCAUAACCGACACAGGUGGGUAGGUAGAGUAUACUAAGGGGCGCGAGAUAACUCUCUCUAAGGAACUCGGCAAAAUGACUCCGUAACUUCGGGAGAAGGAGUGCCUUAUUUUUAAGGUUGCAAUAACAAGAUCCAAGCAACUGUUUACCAAAAACACAGGUCUCCGCUAAGUCGUAAGACGAUGUAUGGGGGCUGACGCCUGCCCAGUGCCAGUAGGUUAAAGAAGUCGGUUAGCAUUCGCGAAGCUGGUAACUGAAGCCCUGGUGAACGGCGGCCGUAACAAUAACGGUCCUAAGGUAGCGAAAUUCCUUGUCGGGUAAGUUCCGACCCGCACGAAAGGCGUAAUGAUUAGGAUACUGUCUCGGAGAGGGGCUCGGUGAAAUAGACUUGUCUGUGAAGAUGCGGACUACCUGCACCUGGACAGAAAGACCCUAUGAAGCUUUACUGUAACUUGAAAUUGAAAUUGGACUUUAUUUGCGCAGUAUAGGUGGGAGGCGUUGAAAAUAUUCUUGCGGGAAUAUUGGAGCCAUCAGUGAGAUACCACUCUUGUAAUGUUAGAUUUCUAACUUUAUAUCAUUAUCUGGUUAAAGAACAGUUUCAGGCGGGCAGUUUGACUGGGGCGGUCGCCUCCCAAAUGGUAACGGAGGCGCACAAAGGUUUCCUCUGAACGGGUAGAAAUCGUAUCUAGAGUGUAAAGGCAUAAGGAAGCUUGACUGUGAGACCUACAAGUCGAGCAGGGACGAAAGUCGGUCUUAGUGAUCUGACGGUGCUGAGUGGAAAGGCCGUCACUCAACGGAUAAAAGUUACUCUAAGGAUAACAGGCUGAUCUCCCCCAAGAGUUCACAUCGACGGGGAGGUUUGGCACCUCGAUGUCGGCUCAUCGCAUCCUGGGGCGGUAGUACGUCCCAAGGGUUGGGCUGUUCGCCCAUGAAAGCGGUACGCGAGCUGGGUUCAGAACGUCGUGAGACAGUUCGGUCCAUAUCCGGUGUAGGCGUUAGAAUAUUGAGAGGAGCCUUCUUUAGUACGAGAGGACCGAGAAGGACAUACCUCUGGUGUACCAGUUAUCGUGCCAACGGUAAACGCUGGGUAGCUAUGUAUGGAGUGGAUAACCGCUGAAAGCAUCUAAGUGGGAAGCCCACCUCAAGAUAAG